rnacentral:lncRNA from 1 species
CACAGAUGAGUUUACCUCUCAGACCUCAUCAAUGAAGUUUCUCUGUUCAGUGAACAGUGGUUAAUGCAGAAACUUACAACUGAUUGAAGUGCUGAGGAUAAAUGGGGUUUGAUUCUCAGUCCUCAUGGUGGCUCACCAUCAUCCAUAGCACUAGUUCCAGGGGAUCAGAUGUCCUCUUCUGGCCUCCUGGUACCAGAUUGUCUACUCCUGCUGAAUCAUCUGUGGACACCAGACUGUCCUUCAGCCUCUUAGUGUGAACUCACACUGUGACUCUCCAGAACUCCUUCAGGACUUUAGCCUCAGAUGGGCACUGCAUCAGUGGUCCUUCCUGCUCUGAGGCUUCCUUUUGCUGGAUUCUCUAAGUAUCCAGAAUAAAGAUGAC